ACUUUUCAUCUUUGUGUGUCCCCUCCAUGGUAAAGACUCUGCCUGGCAAUUCUCACUGAGACAGGAGGCUCCAAACUACAGCUGUCAUGAGACAAUGGCUUAGUACCUCACACCUCCACAGCUGAUUUUUGCCUUCUCCUAAUGGGAGUCUUGUGUCUCAGAUGCUAUUGAUUGUGUUGCAGCAAAGUCACAAGGAGAGACCUUGCAAAGCAGCACAGCAUUUGCUAGUCUACGCACAGCUACACUUGACUGUCAUUUCCCCCUUUCUCAUGGGCAUCUGAAGAAACAAAUUUUGAUCUGUGGCUGUGGGGAAAGGACGAUGGAGAAGGUUUUAUCUCCUUUCCCCAGUUUUGCUUUCUGUCUUUGCAUUGAAGGAGGUUUCUUUUCUGAAAAAGCCCAAGUCUUUAGAAUUCUGAUGAGAUUUUCCUGGGAUACACACCAGGCUUAUGUCAAAGUGCUGUGGUAACUGUCAGUUGUUUGGAGCAGCAAUCUAAUUUCUCUUCCAUGCUGAAAGUAUUCCUGGCUGUGGUACUCUUGAAGGCUGUUUCAGCUCCACAGAUACAAUCUUGUUUCUGCUACAAAAUGCUGCCAGCACACCACUGCAUACUGGAGAAUUAAAGUCCUUUGUCCUGCAUCUGAGUAACUGGGAUUGUGUCCUGUAUUUUACCAAAAAUGAAAGUUGAACAGAGACUGCCAUAGUCCUUGAUGGCAACUUUGCUGUGAGACUCAAAAGCCAACACUCCCUUGACAAAGCCUCUGAGUUUGGCUCUGCUAGAAGCUAGUCAUAUCUUUAUACUGACCAUGAACAUUACAUGUAUUAUACAUAUGCAAUAUUUUAGAGCAGUUACUUAGGUUUGCCACUUUAAUGUGCUUUAGUUUUGAUUUCUAUGUUCAUCUUCAAGCCAUAUGAACAUUACUUGAUGUUUGGUUGAUUUGAACUUGUAAAUAGUAUAAGAUUGCAUGGAUAUCAACAAUUUCUAUCAAGAAUAUUUAUAUCAAGAAUUUGUAAAGUGUUUCAUAGAAAACAUGGUCUCUGAACUAUUCCAUAAUGUGAUACUGUAAAUAAAGUGCCUAUCACUAUA